ACGCACGCUGGCGGCGUGCCUAAUCCCUGCACGUAGAACGCUGAAGAGAGGAGCUUGCUCUUCUUGGAUGAGUUGCGAACGGGUGAGUAACGCGUAGGUAACCUGCCUUGUAGCGGGGGAUAACUAUUGGAAACGAUAGCUAAUACCGCAUAACAAUGGAUGACACAUGUCAUUUAUUUGAAAGGGGCAAUUGCUCCACUACAAGAUGGACCUGCGUCGUAUUAGCUAGUAGGUGAGGUAAUGGCUCACCUAGGCGACGAUACAUAGCCGACCUGAGAGGGUGAUCGGCCACACUGGGACUGAGACACGGCCCAGACUCCUACGGGAGGCAGCAGUAGGGAAUCUUCGGCAAUGGGGGCAACCCUGACCGAGCAACGCCGCGUGAGGGAAGAAGGUUUUCGGAUCGUAAAGCUCUGUUGUAAGUCAAGAACGGGGGUGAGAGUGGAAAGUUCACACUGUGACGGUAGCUUACCAGAAAGGGACGGCUAACUACGUG
rnacentral:rRNA from 1 species